rnacentral:lncRNA from 1 species
UAAUAAUGAUACAUUCAGGGGCUUUCAUAUUUGGCUUCCUACCUUUUAGCAUAUAUUUUUCAUGAUUUUUUCCUGAAUGAGGAAGGCUAAAAGGUAUGACUUUGUGGAAGGUUUGAAAGGUAGAAUUAUCACUCAGAUUGCAAAAAUGAAAACCCUUGCCAAAGCUGUCAGCAUGAUGUCUCUGUAUCUCUGUUUCUGUGUACAUUUCAGAGGAAUCAGUCAUUUUUUAAUUUUCUGCUUAGGCUAACUCCAUUGAUUCAAGUCAAAGAUAAAGACCAGGCUCUUCCUUCAAGGAAAAAUAAAAGGAAGUAAGUCCCAGUGAUGGGUCUAAACUAUCCAUAUCUAUUUCAACCCUGUGAGAGUGUCUCUAAUUUUUGAAAAGGUGGAAUAUGUUGGCAGACCAAAGCUGUUCCUGCAAUACCUAAUCAUCAUAUCUCUAAAUGUGUUCUGUCUCUUGCAUGCAGUCUGUAGGUUGCUGCUGUCAUUAUUUGGAGGAAGAGGAAAAAAAAAUAAUGCUGAGGAGUUGUUGAUGACUUAGAGCAACUGUUUUUCAGCCUACACGAAGGUGUUUGCCAGGUUGAUAAUGCUUCUGAUGGCCUUCAUCCUGUUUAUGUACAGCAGGAAGCCUGUGGGACCAAAUGCAGAUGUUGAGAGACUAAGGGGCCUUCAGUACUUUCCAAGCCUCCGUGAGAGAGAGGAGCUGAAGUCCAGUCCAAAGGUUGUGCUGGCAUCCAGGAGAUACUGUAGCAAAUCUCAAUGCGAUUUAUUUUAUUUUAUUUU